UUGGGACUGAACAAAUAAUUGUUUAGUAUGAGUAUAUCCCAUGCAGUGUUUGGGACAUACUUAUACUAAAAAAACGUUUCGUGUUUACCUGAAAUUUAAAUUUAAUUUGGUGUCCUAAAU
rnacentral:miRNA from 1 species